GAUGAGGACAUCCCAGGUUCACCUCGUUUAUCAUCUUCUCCUCAUGAUAAAUCUUAACCAUCAAAUGAAGCUUCUACAAAGAAGACUUAUUUGGGUCCCAUGACAAGGAGUCGUGCCAAACAAAUAGAACGAGAGAUGAAUGCGCUUCUAGCUAAUCAUAAUUCAAAUAUCCAUGAGAACUUUAUACUGCCUAAUUCUUGUGUGCUGAUUUUACUCAGGUACAAUGCUAAGGACAACCAACAACUUUCAGCUCAUGAAGAAACAAGUUUAGCUCGCGAAGGAAUAAGUUCUGAAACUCAUACAACAAGUUUGAAGGAAACAAGUUACACCUCUGAUAUAAAGCAAGUUUUGGUGGACAACUACUUGGGGCAUCUCCAACACCGACUCUCAAACCGCCCGCAUACGUCUGUACCGCGCUGUACGGGCGUGUUAUGCCAUCCAACGUGGGCUUGUAUCGGUCCGUGUUAUGCCAUGUUUACAACAAUUUUAUAUGGUUUUGGUAUGGUUUGGUUAGAACUAACCUGGACUGACGCUGUUUUCAGAAGAAUUACCGUGGUGUUGUUUUCUGUGCAGAAAUAA
rnacentral:rRNA from 1 species